UCUAAACUUGUUUCUCUUUGUUGCCAGAGUAUUAGCAGCGACCCUCCAUCCAAAAAUCCGGACUUUUUGUGGUACCUUAGCUUUCCAAAUCAGAUCCCAGAUAGAUCAAUCAUCUAAAAAGUUUUCUAUCUUCAUUCAAAAGAAUUUGUUAUUUUGGACAACUAUUAGAUCGUUAAUUUCUGUCAAAGAUUUGGUAGGUGACACUAUAUUGUUCAGGCUCGGACUAAUGUUACAGCAUGUAUAUGUAAUGUGUGUGUUUUCACUCAGAGUAAUGUCUAACAAUUGGUGUUUAAUAAAACACAUGAAAAAACUAAAGAGUUUUCUAUCUUCAUUCAAAAGAAUUUCUUAAAUUGGACAACCAUUAGAUCAUUAAUUUCUUUGUCAAAGAUUGGUAGAUGACACUAUUUUGUUCAGGCUCGGACGAACGUUACAGCAUGUGUAUGUAACAUGUUUUUUUUCACUCAGAUUAAUGUGUAUUCGGGCUGUCAUCUCUUUUGCCAUCUUUUAGGCUAGGCUAGGAUGUAGUAAUAAAAGCUUCAUAUGGUCAAUUGUAUGACUGUUUCUUUGGAUAUGAUCUGAAUAGUUGUGCCCUUCCAAGUUAAUUCAUAAGUCAUAACAUACUGCAGUGUGAUACUAGACAAUAUUUGUUGUAUCUAUAGUCAGUCUCUACAAUUAUGUUCUUAAUAUACAUAAAGAAGUGACUUCUAUUUGAUCCAAUCCUUUAUUACAAGUAAUAUUUUACGAAUCUAUUUUCACCUAGAUUAAUUGUAAGCCAUAUAGAUAUGUUUCCUGUGGAAUAUCAUAUCAGAUAGGACACAUUCUGUUAAGACAAUCAUCAUGGAAUUGGUAACGUGUAGCAAGUUACUUCUAGUUCAACCUACUGGCUAUAAUAUUUUAUACCUGACAUGUUUUUCAUCAUGUGGCAGAUGCUGGUUUUUGGGAGCAUUUUCAACAAGACAUGGUUGUUGACUUAGGCAUGGACGUUCGGAUCAGUUGCCGAAAAUGCCAGAUGACCUAGUGUUGAUGUUUAAUGGUUAAUGCCUGAUGAGAGCGGGGCCUUGUUUGAUGGGGGAGGCGCUGGCACAGUGUUCUCUGAGACAUACUUGUAAAAUUAACAUUUUUUUGGAUCUUCUAUUUUUGCUCCUGUACAUGUGUAUUUUAAGAUGUGUUUAUGUAAUCUUCUUUCUUUUAUUGACAUGAGCAUAUAUUUGUGCCAAAUUCUUGAAUUUUCAUGUGCCAAAAGAAAUAAGUGAUCGUAGUGGUCCAUACUAGAAAUUAAUGGGCUUAAAUUCUAAUUGUGUUGAUUACAAUAUGGGCUGCCAAUCUUGGAUUGAGCUAAAAUUCUAAAAUUUAGUGGGCCAAAAUUUCAGAUGGGCUGAUUACUACAUGGGCUGCCAUGUCAGAUCCAUGUUGGAUGAUGACAUGGCAGGCAAGUUAACGCCG
rnacentral:lncRNA from 1 species